rnacentral:lncRNA from 1 species
UGUCGCACAUACCCGCACAACCACCGCCAUAUUGCUUUUGUUCGUUACUGUUAUAAUAGUCUGUUGUCUUCGUUUCGUUAUUUUUUUUUUUUUGCACUACCGUGUACACUACCUUUACUGUUCUUUUCGUCGGCUCUUUUUACGAAAACAAAAUACAGCUACAACAGCCACCCGAAAUUGUGCUGUGGUGUUUCGUUCUGCCAGUGUUAACCAGCAUCACCCACCAGCACCCGUAGCAAUACGUGGCCCGAGCAACCAACCAUCACUUCCGUGUCACAGUGAUAGGUAGCUGUGUAAAGACCACAUCAAAAACAAGUCACAGCGUUCUAUUUUAACAAUGAUUUAUGAACCGAUUGAAUUUUAUCAGAGCGGUAAAGUCAUAUUACCCCCGGAACCAACGAACGUAGAUCCCUGCUUUAACGGGUUUCGAUCUGGGUGUACUCCCGAGAAAAUAAUUAAUAAAAAAAUAAUAAAUGGUACGUAUUACGUUUUAGUCAAGUGGAGAAACAGAGAUGAUCCGUCAUACGUAAGGUAUAAUGAAGCAAGAAAAAAGUGCAGUCAUUUGCUUAUUCAAUUUUAUGAAAAACACACCGUUUUUUACAAACGGGCCAGUAAUUAAAUGAUGGCUGUAAAUUGAUAGAGAAGUUUCGAAGUUAUCUUCAAUACCCGAAAACUAUCUAUUAUCAUGAUGUAUCAUUUCAGUUUAUUUUUAUUUUCUGACCUAUAAUCAUUUUUUUUUUUUGUAUUAAAUAUUAU